GAUGAAGAACGCAGCGAAAUGCGAUAAGUAAUGUGAAUUGCAGAAUUCAGUGAAUCAUCGAAUCUUUGAACGCCCAUUGCGCCCGCCAGUAUUCUGGCGGGCAUGCCUGUUCGAGCGUCAUUUCAACCAUCAAGCCCCAGGCUUGUGUUGGGGACCUGCGGCUGCCGCAGGCCCUGAAAACCAGUGGCGGGCUCGCUGUCACACCGGGCGUAGUAGAUUUUAUCUCGCUCAGGGCGUGCUGCGGGUUCCGGCCGUUAAAAAGCCUUUUUUACCCAAGGUUGACCUCGGAUCAGGUAGGAAGACCCGCUGAACUUAAGCAUAUCAAUAAGCGGAGGA
rnacentral:misc_RNA from 1 species